rnacentral:tRNA from 1 species
GGCUCGGUAGCUCAGUUGGUAGAGCAAUGGCUUGAAGCUCCAUGUGUCGGCGGUUCGAUUCCGUCUCGCGCCA